rnacentral:rRNA from 1 species
AUUAGAGGAAGUAAAAGUCGUAACAAGGUUUCCGUAGGUGAACCUGCGGAAGGAUCAUUACCGGGAGAGGAGGCACCGCCUCUGGAGGGCUUCGGCGCUCCAACCCUUCACCCUCUGCCUACAUACCCACGUUGCUUUGGCGGGUCCCGGGCUCCGUCCCGCCUCGGUCUCGGGGUUUCGCCGCCCUCGACCUGGGAGUAUCCGUCGGAGGCCUUAUGACAUUCUGCUUCUAUCUGUGACGUCCGAGCGGUGGGUAUAAUUGUCCAAACACUUUCAACAACGGAUCUCUUGGUUCCAGCAUCGAUGAAGAACGCAGCGAAAUGCGAUAAGUAAUGUGAAUUGCAGAAUUCAGUGAAUCAUCGAAUCUUUGAACGCACAUUGCGCCCCUCGGUAUUCCGGGGGGCAUGCCUGUUCGAGCGUCAUUGCACCCCUCAAGCGUUGGCUUGGUACUGGGUCUCGCCCCCGUGGUGAACCUGAAAGGCGUUGGCGGUCCGGCGUAGAUUCCGAGCGUAGUAAACCGUCUCCCGCUCCGGACGUUGCGCUGCGGCUGGCCAGAACAACCCCCUAUCGAUGUUCAAUGAUUGACCUCGGAUCAGGUAGGGAUACCCGCUGAACUUAAGCAUAUC